GACGAACGCUGGCGGCGUGCCUAAUACAUGCAAGUCGAACGCUUUUUCUUUCACCGGAGCUUGCUCCACCGAAAGAAAAAGAGUGGCGAACGGGUGAGUAACACGUGGGUAACCUGCCCAUCAGAAGGGGAUAACACUUGGAAACAGGUGCUAAUACCGUAUAACACUAUUUUCCGCAUGGGAGAAAGUUGAAAGGCGCUUUUGCGUCACUGAUGGAUGGACCCGCGGUGCAUUAGCUAGUUGGUGAGGUAACGGCUCAUCAAGGCAACGAUGCAUAGCCGACCUGAGAGGGUGAUCGGCCACACUGGGACUGAGACACGGCCCAGACUCCUACGGGAGGCAGCAGUAGGGAAUCUUCGGCAAUGGACGAAAGUCUGACCGAGCAACGCCGCGUGAGUGAAGAAGGUUUUCGGAUCGUAAAACUCUGUUGUUAGAGAAGAACAAGGAUGAGAGUAAAAUGUUCAUCCCUUGACGGUAUCUAACCAGAAAGCCACGGCUAACUACGUGCCAGCCGCCGCUAUAA
rnacentral:rRNA from 1 species